rnacentral:rRNA from 1 species
CCUACGGGGGGCAGCAGUGGGGAAUAUUGGACAAUGGGGGCAACCCUGAUCCAGCCAUGCCGCGUGUGUGAAGAAGGCCCUCGGGUUGUAAAGCACUUUCAGUGAGGAAGAACGCCUGGUGGUUAAUACCCAUCAGGAAAGACAUCACUCACAGAAGAAGCACCGGCUAACUCCGUGCCAGCAGCCGCGGUAAUACGGAGGGUGCGAGCGUUAAUCGGAAUUACUGGGCGUAAAGCGCGCGUAGGUGGCUUGAUAAGCCGGUUGUGAAAGCCCCGAGCUCAACCUGGGAACGGCAUCCGGAACUGUCAAGCUAGAGUGCAGGAGAGGAAGGUAGAAUUCCCGGUGUAGCGGUGAAAUGCGUAGAGAUCGGGAGGAAUACCAGUGGCGAAGGCGGCCUUCUGGACUGACACUGACACUGAGGUGCGAAAGCGUGGGUAGCAAACAGGAUUAGAUACCCCAGUAGUC